rnacentral:rRNA from 1 species
CAUGCAAGUCGAGCGGUAACAGACAUAAAGAUUCAGCUUGCUGAAUCUGGUGCUGACGAGCGGCGAACGGGUGAGUAACGCGUAGGAAUCUACCCAGUAGCGGGGGAUAGCCCGGGGAAACCCGGAUUAAUACCGCAUACGCCCUAAGGGGGAAAGGGGGCAGCUUGCUGCUCUCACUAUUGGAUGAGCCUGCGUAAGAUUAGCUUGUUGGUGGGGUAAAGGCCUACCAAGGCAACGAUCUUUAGCUGGUCUGAGAGGACGAUCAGCCACAUUGGGACUGAGACACGGCCCAGACAUCUACGGAUGGCAGCAGUUAAGAAUAUUGGACAAUGGGGGCAACCCUGAUCCAGGUAUACCGCGUGUGUGAAGAAGGCCCUAGGGUUGUAAAGCACUUUAAUCAGUGAAGAAGCAUUUUAGAUUAAUACCCUAAUUUGUUGACGUUACCUGAAGAAUAAGGACCGGCUAACUCCGUGCCAGCAGCCGCGGUAAUACGGAGGGUCCAAGCGUUAAUCGGAAUUACUGGGCGUAAAGCGCGCGUAGGCGGUUUAGCAAGUUGAAUGUGAAAGCCCUGGGCUCAACCUAGGAACUGCAUUCAAAACUACUAAGCUAGAGUACGAGAGAGGAGAGUAGAAUUUCUGGUGUAGCGGUGAAAUGCGUAGAUAUCAGAAGGAAUACCAAUGGCGAAGGCAGCUCUCUGGCUCGUCACUGACGCUAAGGUGCGAAAGCGUGGGUAGCAAACAGGAUUAGAUACCCUGGUAGUCCACGCCGUAAACGAUGAGAACUAGCCGUUGGAUAGAUUUAACUGUUCAGUGGCACAGCUAACGCAUUAAGUUCUCCGCCU